AUGCUGGGUGGGUGCUGGGAGGCCGUGCCUGCAUCUGUUCCCUUUGUUCUGUCACAGAACAGAGACAGGAAGGGGUCUGACCUCCUGAUAAACCCUGAGCAGAGCCCUCUGCAAGCUUCAGGAGGCAGCAGGGCUGGAGUGUUGUGGCAAGGCCCACUCAGGUGGUGGAGAAGGAGCCUGGCCAGGCUGAGGGUCACCAUGCGCUGCAGCUUGGGGCUACGGACCAAGCUGCUGGGUUACCACACUACACUCAGUACUAAUUCCUCUCCUGCUCCCCUCAUCCUGUCGUCUCAAACUUCUCCACAGCAAGACAUCCAAGGCAACGAUGAGCACUUCCAUGUGGUCAAGCAGCUUCUGGUUUUCUGAUGCAGUGCUUUUGCUCAGAAUAGACAACACAUUCUUUGCAGGAUGAUGCAGGGACCACCGUCACCUGUACUUUGCCUAUGUGUCUUAGAGUGGCCACGACAGGCUUUUCCUGGAGACUUGAGGAUUCCUUCUCUCCUGAGUGGUCUGGCCAGGACGAAGCAGACACCUCAUUAACAGGGUCCCCAGCCUGCAGGAAGCACAGGAAAUCAUCUGUAGGCUGCAGGAUUCUGGUCUGUACCUCCUUGGUUGGGAGACAUCGCUUCUUGAUGCCUGUUGAUGCCUUAUAUGGCCUCUUUCUGGAUACCAGUACCCCAUCUUCCAGGACCUCAUCUUUCCAAGAAACCCUCAGGAUAUUUCAUUUUUGAGGAUAAGCAAGAAAGUGUGCACUGUGUUUAGUAAAACAUUGUCUUUCAGCCCUGCUCACCCAGCUGUGUCCUUGAACCCAGUGUGUUCGCGGUAAGGAAGACUUUGAUCGACUGCCCUGUUUUAAAGAGAUGAGGAGGUUCCUUAGCUUGCAUGGAAUGCAUUCCUUGCCUGCCCUGAAAAGUCCUGAGCUCUGCAGCACUGGCACUUGCCUCUGGGAACUGGCAAGUGAGAUGAAUUAGAAGCCUGGAGCAAAAUAUUUGGUUUCAUGCAAUUUAGUUUCUUUCUACUACUUGCUUAAAAUUCUGUGGAAC
rnacentral:lncRNA from 1 species